AGCUUUUUAGUUUAUGUUAUAAAAUUCUUGUUUGUGGUACAAGAGAAUUUUUGAGGCUU
rnacentral:tRNA from 1 species